rnacentral:rRNA from 1 species
CGGGACGGGUGAGUAAUGCUGGGAAUCUAGCUUAUGGAGGGGGAUAACUACGGGAAACUGUAGCUAAUACCGCGUAAUAUCGAAAGAUUAAAGUGUGGGACCUUCGGGCCACAUGCCAUAGGAUGAGCCCAAGUGGGAUUAGGUAGUUGGUGAGGUAAAGGCUCACCAAGCCGACGAUCUCUAGCUGGUCUGAGAGGAUGACCAGCCACACUGGGACUGAGACACGGCCCAG